UUAGGAAUAUUCCACAAUGGGGGCAACCCUGAUGGAGCAACGCCGCGUGGAGGAUGAAGGCCCUAGGGUCGUAAACUUCUUUUCUAUGCGAAGAAUAUGACGGUAACAUAGGAAUAAGGGUCUGCUAACUACGUGCCAGCAGCCGCGGUCAUACGUAGGACCCAAGCGUUAUUCGGAUUGAUUGGGCGUAAAGAGUUGCGUAGGCGGUUUGUUAAGCGAAUAGUGAAAUCUUGUGGCUCAACCAUAAGGCUAUUAUUCGAACUGGCAAACUCGAGAAUGGAAGAGAUAUCUGGAAUUCCCAGUGUAGGAGUGAAAUCCGUAGAUAUUGGGAGGAACACCAAUGGCGUAGGCAGGAUAUUGGUCCAUUUCUGACGCUAAGGCACGAAAGCGUGGGGAGCGAA
rnacentral:rRNA from 1 species